GGGGUUGUGGCUCAGUGGUAGAGCACUUGCCUUGCAUACAUGAAACACUGUGUUUGAUCCUCAGCACCACA
rnacentral:tRNA from 1 species